rnacentral:rRNA from 1 species
GACGAGGGGUCCUAGCGUUGUUCGGAAUCACUGGGCGUAAAGCGUAUGUAGGCGGCCUGUUAAGUCAGUUGUGAAAUCCCAUGGCUCAACCAUGGAAUUGCAAUUGAAACUGGCGGGCUUGAGUGCAGGAGAGGUUGGUAGAAUACCUAGUGUAGUGGUGAAAUACGUAGAUAUUAGGUGGAAUACCGGUGGCGAAGGCGGCCAACUGGCCUAGCACUGACGCUGAGAUACGAAAGCGUGGGGAUCAACAGGGA